rnacentral:rRNA from 1 species
UACGGAGGGGGCUAGCGUUGUUCGGAAUUACUGGGCGUAAAGGGCUCGUAGGUGGCCAACUAAGUCAGACGUGAAAUCCCUCAGCUUAACUGGGGAACUGCGUCUGAUACUGGAUGGCUUGAGUUUGGGAGAGGGAUGCGGAAUUCCAGGUGUAGCGGUGAAAUGCGUAGAUAUCUGGAGGAACACCGGUGGCGAAGGCGGCAUCCUGGACCAACACUGACACUGAGGAGCGAAAGCCAGGGGAGCAAACGGG